ensembl:lncRNA
CGUAGAGUGCAGGAACCAGAAUGAACGUGGGAACGUGACGUGUUAACCCUGACGGAGAAGAAACGGCGUAGUCGUUCACGGCACCAUCCCUUUAAACGCAUCCACUUCACGAACCUACGCAGCGCUCAGACGGAUAAAAGCGCCGGGGCGGGAUGAGAGCGGGAAACCCGCGGAGCUCGGCGAACAGGCUUUUCCUGUCGGUCCUGUGCGCCGGAACAGAUGUGCGACAGUGAAAACAAACCCUAACCCGUUCCUGUUUCUUCGUUCUAAGUUCGAACGCUAGCCGGGUUCCUCGGACCGUACCACUCCACGGAGACCGCGCUUCCUACACAAGAUCAUACGCCAAGCCGUACGCAAACUUUUGUGCGCUCAGAAUGAAGCGGGUUUGAUGCGUUCACUCGUGACCGUCUCGUAGCGAUCUAAAACAGAAUUUCCAGAGCCUCAGCUGCCCUCGCUUUAACAGCGACGACUGGUGUCAAUCAAACCAGACCCCGCCCCCUUUCGGCAGCCCCGUUCACCAGAGCGAGAAAGCGUAUCCGUUCGGCCCUAAAGAAGACGACCCGGCGGUCAUCGACGAAUCGGACGGCGACUGGACCGGCGGGAAGGAGCGAGAGCCUCCGUGGGCGGAGCUGUGCGGGUUGAGGAGGGACGUGCUGGGCGGAGAACUCGACAUCGAGCAGAUCGAGAGAAACUGAGACUCGGAGAACGUCUUCACGUCCCCGGUUCUCGUGUUCCUCCACGUCCUGUAGCGAGUCGUGCUUUCCGGAAUGGGACUCAGGAGAAAUGGACGCUCACGAAUUUGUGGGACGUUAGGAUGACUCAGGUUGUAUCUCGGAAUAAAAAAAAAAAAAAAAGCAGAGUGGAUUGUGGGAUAUCGGGGGUUCUGCGCGCGCUCUGUUGCAGAUAUUGUAGCUUCUUCUUCUUCUUCUUCUUCUGUAAAGGAACGAAACGAUGGCGUACGUUCUCAGAGUCCGACCUGCCUGUCUGUCUGUGCUGAAUGACGAGUGAACGGAGCCAAAAUAUAAAUCUAUAUUUUAAGGAUGUAUUAGUUUUUGUUUGUUUGUUUGUUUGUUUGUUUUUCUGCUCCGUUCAUCUGAAAAAACACGGCAUCACGAAGAAGGACGGAAAGGAAAACGAGAAGGUUCUGAGAGACGACUGCCGUGAAACCGAGGACUUACUGUUGAACUUGCACUGGCAUUGAACACGCACACACCUCACACACACACACACACACACACACACACACACACACACAGUGAAAAGCUUGGAAAGGGUUUCAGGUUUUAAUAACGUCGGGCGAUAAUUUCAAGCUAAUAAGAGUUUAAUUCCUCUUUUUACGAAGUAUAACGUAAAAUGUACUUAUUUCUAUACGAAUAAACAUUUAAAGUGUGUUUGUAAACUGGCUGUAGACGUGUGUGUGUGUGUGUGUGUGUGUGUGUGUGGGUGU